AUUGAACGCUGGCGGCGUGCCUAACACAUGCAAGUCGAGCGGUAACAGGUGUAGCAAUACAUGCUGACGAGCGGCGAACGGGUGAGUAAUGCUUCGGAAUCUACCCAAUGGUGGGGAAUAACCAGCCGAAAGGUUGGCUAAUACCGCAUACGUCCCACGGGAGAAAGCAGGGGAUCGCAAGACCUUGCGCCAAUGGAUGAGCCGAAGUCGGAUUAGCUAGNGGUAGGGUAACGGCCUACCAAGGCGACGAUCCGUAGCUGGUCUGAGAGGACGACCAGCCACACUGGGACUGAGACACGGCCCAGACUCCUACGGGAGGCAGCAGUGGGGAAUAUUGGACAAUGGGGGAAACCCUGAUCCAGCGACGCCGCGUGUGUGAAGAAGGCCUGCGGGUUGUAAAGCAC
rnacentral:rRNA from 1 species